rnacentral:rRNA from 1 species
CGGAACACGUACAGAACCUUCCUUUAAGCGGGGGAUAGCCCAUAGAAAUGUGGAUUAAUACCCCAUAGCAAUAUUUAAUGGCAUCAUUAGAUAUUUAAAGAUUUAUCACUUAAAGAUGGCUGUGCGGCUGAUUAGGUAGUUGGUGCGGGUAACGGCCCACCAAGCCAUCGAUCAGUAACUGGUGUGAGAGCACGACCAGUCACACGGGCACUGAGACACGGGCCCG